rnacentral:rRNA from 1 species
UACGGAGGGUGCGAGCGUUGUCCGGAAUCACUGGGCGUAAAGGGCGCGUAGGCGGCCUGAUAAGUAGGGGGGUGAAAUCUUGCGGCUUAACCGCAAGGCUGCCUUCUAAACUGUCAGGCUAGAGCACAGUAGAGGCAGGUGGAAUUCCCGGUGUAGCGGUGGAAUGCGUAGAGAUCGGGAAGAACAUCAGUGGCGAAGGCGGCCUGCUGGGCUGUUGCUGACGCUGAGGCGCGACAGCGUGGGGGAGCAAACAGG